rnacentral:rRNA from 1 species
GUUGUAUAGUCAAGUAAUUAAGUGCAUGUGGUGGAUGCCUUGGCAGUCAGAGGCGAUGAAAGACGUGGUAGCCUGCGAUAAGCUUCGGGGAGUCGGCAAACAGACUUUGAUCCGGAGAUCUCUGAAUGGGGGAACCCACCUACUUUAAGGUAGGUAUUGCAACAUGAAUACAUAGUGUUGCAAGGCGAACGAGGGGAAGUGAAACAUCUCAGUACCCUUAGGAAAAGAAAUCAAUUGAGAUUCCCUCAGUAGCGGCGAGCGAACGGGGAUCAGCCCAUUAAGUUAUGUGUGUUUUAGUGGAACGCUCUGGGAAGUGCGAACGUAGAGGGUGAUAUUCCCGUACACGAAAGGGCACACAUAAUGAUGACGAGUAGGGCGAGGCACGUGAAACCUUGUCUGAAUAUGGGGGGACCAUCCUCCAAGGCUAAAUACUCCUGACUGACCGAUAGUGAACCAGUACCGUGAGGGAAAGGCGAAAAGAACCCCUGUGAGGGGAGUGAAAUAGAUCCUGAAACCGCAUGCAUACAAGCAGUGGGAGCACCUUCGUGGUGUGACUGCGUACCUUUUGUAUAAUGGGUCAGCGACUUAUAUUCAGUAGCGAGGUUAACCGUAUAGGGGAGCCGUAGAGAAAUCGAGUCUUAAUAGGGCGUUUAGUUGCUGGGUAUAGACCCGAAACCAGGCGAUCUAUCCAUGAGCAGGUUGAAGGUUGGGUAACACUAACUGGAGGACCGAACCCACUGUCGUUGAAAAGCCAGGGGAUGACUUGUGGAUAGGGGUGAAAGGCUAAUCAAGCCUGGUGAUAGCUGGUUCUCCCCGAAAGCUAUUUAGGUAGCGCCUCGGACGAAUACCAUAG